AGCUCCAAGAGCGUAUAUUAAAGUUGUUGCGGUGAAAAAGCUCGUAGUCGAAUGUCUGUUGAGGUAAGCAGGUCCGCCCCCUGGGUGUGCAUCUUGCUUUUACUUCAGCAUUUUCGUGGGAAGCGUUCUGCACUUGAUUGUGUGGAGCGGUUGUUGCGACUUUUACCCCGAGGAAAUUAGAGUGUUUCAAGCAGGCGUUCGCCUUGAGUACGUUAGCAUGGGAUAAUACCAUGGGACGUCGGUCUCAUUUGUUGGCUUGUGCGAGUGAUGUAGUGUCAAAGAGGAAUAGUUGAGGCUCUCAGUAUCCAGAUGUCAUCGGUGAAAUUCUUAGAUCUUCUGGCGACAAGCAGUUGCGAAAGCAAUGGUCACGGAUGUUU
rnacentral:rRNA from 1 species